CAGGGAGGGGGGAGGCAGGAUCAGUGUGUGUGCAAAGGCCAGAGAAGCUGCCCCCACCUGUGAGUCAAGUCUGUGAGAUGGUGUGAGGUCACAGGUCCCUGGAGUACACAGACUCUGUCCUGGUCGCCAGCCGAUGAUGCUGGUGCAUGUCCUUCCCAGGCCCGGGAUGUGGUGUCUGUGCCUAGGUGGGCUGCCUCAGGCCCCUCCACACCGGGCUGGCUUCCCCAGGGCAGGGAGAGAAUCCCUGGGCAGCAGUUGGCACUGCAGGCUCCCUCCCUACCCCUCACCUACUUGUUACUAGGGGCACAUGUGUCCUCGGCAGUGACAGUGGGAGCUGAGGCCCUGAGUCAAGGCCUCCCUGCCUUUGUAGCCCUCUACACACGUCAGCUGUCCUCUGCAGCCACGCUGUGGCCCCGAGCUCCUCCAGGCAGCUGCCUGUGAGUCUGCACAGCAUAGGCCCGAAGCCCCCGGGAGCCCAUGACUCCACUGGGCCAAUGCCGACCUCUCCCCCUCCCAGCGUCCAGCUAGGUACUGUGUUCCCCUUCCUGCCCCUUGCUGCCCCCUCCCCACAGAGCUCAGGAGACCCAGGAUGACAUGGCACAGGGAGGGGGCCUGGACUCUUUUGCCUAGCUGAGAGGCUGGUGGACAGCCACACCCAGCCCGGCCAUCACUCAGCGUUCAGGGGCUGGCCUCUACCUUUGGCUCUUCACUCUGAGCCCAGGACCUUGGGUGCCAUAGAGACAGUGCCCACCGGGCAGCAGUUGUGCUUGAGUGCAAGCUUUC